rnacentral:sRNA from 1 species
UCGGUGAGGACCUGCGGGCAGAUCAGGUGGACGUGGGAGUCGACGGCCCCCGCCGUGAGGAUCUUGCCGUUGCCCGCGAGGAUCUCGGUGGAGGGGCCGAUGACGAUGUCGACGCCGUCCAUGGUGUCGGGGUUGCCCGCCUUGCCGACGGCGGUGAUCCUGCCGUCCCUGACGGCGACGUCGGCCUUGACCACCCCCCAGUGGUCGAGGAUGACGGCGCCGGUGAUGACCAGGUCGGCCGCGCCCUCGGCGCGGGUCGUGCGGGCCUGGCCCAUGGACUCGCGG